rnacentral:rRNA from 1 species
GUCUAGGGCAAUUCUACCCUGUACUUGUCUGAUCUCAUAUGAUCUCAGAAGCUAAGCAUGGGUAGGUCUGUUUAGUACUUGAAUGGUAGACCACCUGAGAAUACUGGGUGCUGUAGGCU